UGUGCAUCAUGAUUGGAUACAAGCAAUGUAAGUUUGUGCAAUUUUCUACUACCGUCAACUACAAAAAGUUAAAAUAUGUGGCCAUUUGUCAAGUGUCAGCGACAAUGUUUAUGCCCUGCCACCUGAUAUUUUUCUACUGUCAUAGACAAUCUACCUGCGGUUCUCUACGUACGAGGGUUCGGAGGAUUUUCUGCAAGACCUAAAGCUGUUGCUGUCCCCACUAAGAGUGGGCGCGGAAGCGUUCUCGUGGGCAGCUAAGAAGCUAGAGCCGAACAAGAUUGGCCUGGCGACGUCCCCCUCCACGACGGCGGUGCAGGACCGAGUUCUCAAAGCGGCAGCGAAGCACGAAUCGAAGCCGUCUGAUGCGGAGGAGUCCACCAAGACAGACAGUUUUGCCUCCGAAGCAUGAGAAGCUCCCUGUGAGCGUGUGAACUGGAUCCGUAGCCACUUCGCCGUCAGUCUGGUGAAUUGAUGUUUUUGAUGUUAGUAAUGGUACCAUGAGCCGCCGUGACGACGACCGGCAUUGUAAAUUUAUAAGCAGCAGUUUAUAUUACACUUGUUAGCAGAAGUCUUCAGUCAUUGGUCCA